CAAACCGCCCGCCGUGGGAGGGAUGAAGCCCCCUUGGGGGCGGUAAACUCCUUUCAUAGGGAAGAUAAUGACGGUACCUAUAGAAGAAGCCCCGGCUAACUUCGUGC
rnacentral:rRNA from 1 species